GAACCAGGACCAGGAUCAGAACCAGGACCAGGAUCAGAACCAGGACAAGGACCAGGACCAGAACCAGGACCAGGAUCAGCUCUCCGACUCUCCUUUUAGGUGGAACAAGAUGAAGCUCUGUGGUGAUUGGACAGCUGGAGAACCCAGAAGGAACUGAUGCGACGCCAUGCAGGCUUCCUGUUGGACGAAGGAAUCCAACCCUGAAGGGAACACUCUGCUGCAGCAUUUAGAAAAGAGAGUCAGCAAAUAUCAGUUCAUUAAUUAUUCAAACUGAUUUAAAGUUUCUCUCAAAGGAAAUCCAGCAGAGCAUCACUCCUCCUGGCCAGCAGGGGGCGACAUAAGAGAGGAAAAACUCCCCCUUAAAACUCCCACUGAAACAGCUUCCAGUACCAACAGUCUGGUACCAGAAGGUUCUGGUAGGAACAUCUGAACCAAUCGGGUCUGAGAUGGAUCGGAUCAAUUGAGGUUUCAUAUUUUUGAGAAUGAGAUUAUAAUCUGGAUUAACAAGCCGAAUAAGAGAAGCUAAAACAGAAAUCUGAUCUGGGCUUUUAGUUUCCAUCAAAACAUUUUUUGCAUCAACUGCAUCAGAAGAGAUUCCUCAGCGAGGAGCCGAGUGACCUCUGACCUCUGCAUGUCAACAGUGAACAUCGAUAGACCCAAAGCUCAGCACUGAGCCUCGGCUCCGCCCACUUUGGCUCAGUUCAGCAGUGAUUGGCUGAGCCCUUCAAGACUGUUUACAUGCAGCACCGCCACCACGGCAACCACUGCUAGGGAUUACAUCGACAUGUGCCUGAGAAAGCACACACACACUCACCAACAAACACUCUUACACACACACGUACAGUUUUAAUCCAGUUUUCGCUGCAGAACUCAAGCAGUAAGAAUCUUGACUAAGCAGCAGUUCUGAGGUCCAACCCGGUUUCUGGAGACCAGAACCCAGCACGUCUACCAGGAAGUCCUUUCAAGGUAAAAGCUUCAAAAACUAAAAUAAAGUUUCUCAGAAGGUCAAAGUUCAAACCUGAGCUCCUUGAUGUCUCACGUCCUCCUGCGUCUGUCUCCGUCUGUCCUCUGGUCCGAGGCGCGCUCCGAGGCUCUUGUUAUUGUCUGUUUACCCCGUCGCCAUGACGCCAGCCUGUCCCACAUCAGGGGAGGGGCAGCGAGGCAGAGGAGGAAGAGGAGGAGGACGAAGCUGGGCAGCUCCCAUUCUACAGCUCUGUGGAGGCAGUGGGCGGCGCCUCCUCGUCAUGGACCCUCCCUCUACCAUUGGCCAGGAAACUGAAACAGAGAGGGGAGCAGGGUGACGGUGCAGUUCCUGCUGUGACCACCAGGGAGCAGAUUUGAUCUGUUUUUUCCACAUUUCUUGGACCCCUGCUCUGGGUUUGGACGUUACCUGGGGACCGGAUCGGAACCAGCACAGGUGCCCGCCUGUUCCUGCUGGACGUCCAGCUGGGGGUUGGUGUAACCCAGCGUCCCUGAGUAGUUCACAUCCUGCGGG